AUUGAACGCUGGCGGCAGGCCUAACACAUGCAAGUCGAACGAGUGGCGGACGGGUGAGUAAUGUCUGGGAAACUGCCCGAUGGAGGGGGAUAACUACUGGAAACGGUAGCUAAUACCGCAUACCAUCGGAUGUGCCCAUAUGGGAUUAGCUAGUAGGUGGGGUAACGGCUCACCGAGGCGACGAUCCCUAGAUGGUCUGCAAGGAUGACCAGCCACACUGGAACUGAGACACGGUCCAGACUCCUACGGGAGGCAGGAGGGGGGAAGAUUGCACAAGGGGAGCAAGCCUGAUGCAGCCAUGCCGCGUGGAUGAAGAAGGCCGUCGGGUUGUAAAGUACGUGCAGCGAGGAGGCGUUACGCGCAGAAGAAGCACCGGCUAACUCCGUGCCAGCAGCCGCGGUAAUAC
rnacentral:rRNA from 1 species